rnacentral:lncRNA from 1 species
GGGGCGGUUGGCAGCGAGGCGGCGGCCGCGCCUGUCAGGCCGCGUUAAGCACAGGGCGGGCGGGAGGGAGGGAGGUAGGGAGGUGAGCGGCCCUGCCGAAACAUCCCCGCGCUACGGGAUCCGGCUGCCCGCUGAGCCGGAGCAGUACGCUUGUCCCGGUGGCGCUGAGCGCCUGCACGGUGUGGGUUAAUUUCGGGGUGUUGGCACGCGCACGCUGAGGCAGAGCACAGGCAGAAAAUGUAAUUUGCUGUGCGCUUCGGUAUGCUGGGGACCUGUCCUGGAGCUCGUCGUCUUGAGCUGAAUAAAGGCUGAAAAGCAGGAUUGAAGUCGACUUGUUCAACCUGAGGACGUUCUUUCACUGAGAGUCAGAUGGAAGAAUCUGAAAGCCCCUUUCAGGAACUGAUUCUGUGCCUUUUCAGUCCUGUUGGCAUUCCCUUGUUUUUUCUAUUUG